CUACGGGGUGCUGCAGUGGGGAAUAUUGCACAAUGGACGAAAGUCUGAUGCAGCAACGCCGCGUGGAGGAUGACACAUUUCGGUGCGUAAACUCCUUUUAUAUAGGAAGAUAAUGACGGUACUAUAUGAAUAAGCACCGGCUAACUCCGUGCCAGCAGCCGCGGUAAUACGGAGGGUGCAAGCGUUACUCGGAAUCACUGGGCGUAAAGAGCGUGUAGGCGGAUAGAUAAGUCAGGAGUGAAAUCCUAUGGCUCAACCAUAGAACUGCUCUUGAAACUGUCAAUCUAGAGUGUGGGAGAGGUAGAUGGAAUUUCUGGUGUAGGGGUAAAAUCCGUAGAGAUCAGAAGGAAUACCGAUUGCGAAGGCGAUCUACUGGAACAUAACUGACGCUGAGACGCGAAAGCGUGGGGAGCAAACAGGAUUAGAUACCCCCGUAGUC
rnacentral:rRNA from 1 species